AUUGAACGCUGGCGGCAGGCCUAACACAUGCAAGUCGAGCGGAGCGGCGGACGGGUGAGUAAUGCCUAGGAAUCUGACUGGUCGUGGGGGAUAACGUCCGGAACCGGGCGCUAAUACCGCAUACUCUCAAAUGCGCCUAGGUCGGAUUAGCUAGUUGGUGGGGUAAAGGCCUACCAAGGCAACGAUCCGUAACGGGUCUGAGAGGAUGAUCAGGCACACUGGAACGUAGACACGGUCCAGACUCCUACGGGAGGCAGCAGUGGGGAAGAUUGGACAAUGGGCGAAAGCCUGAUCCAGCCAUGCCGCGUGUGUGAAGAAGGUCUUCGGAUUGUAAAGUACUUUAAGUUGGGAGGCGUUACCAACAGAAUAAGCACCGGCUAACUUCGUGCCAGCAGCCGCGGUAAUUC
rnacentral:rRNA from 1 species